rnacentral:rRNA from 1 species
AUGGAAAAAUGUGGGAUCCGCAAAUACCGUAUUAUGGAUAUUUUGUGCUUUCAAUACGGUGGAUUUGAUAAGGUUGGAUGCAUAAAGAGGGACGUUUAUAAUUUCUGCCAUGCUAAUAAGCAGGAGACAAUCAGUGCCGGUGAUGCUAAUACGGUGAUCAUGCACAUGAUGGCGAGGCGAGAGCGAGAUGUGGAUUUUUUCUUCAAGUACUUGGUAGACGAGCAUGGCCAUCUGAAGGGACUGUUCUGGGCCGAUAGUCAGUCGCGACUUGACUACGAGGCUUUCGAAGACGUCAUUGUUUUCGAUAGCACAUACAGAACCAACAAAUACAAUCUGCCAUUCGUGCCGUUUGUCGGGUUGAAUCACCACCGUAGCACUGUUAUUUUUGGCUGUGGUAUAAUUUCUCAUGAAACAAGCCAGGCAUACGAGUGGAUGUUGCGGAACUUUUCUGAUUGCAUGGCACAGAAGCAUCCAAUAUCUGUGAUCACAGAUGGGGACCUUGCAAUGCAGAGAGCAAUAAGGGUGGUUUGGCCAAACUCAAACCAUAGACUAUGUAUAUGGCACAUUCAGCAGAACAUUGUACGCCAUCUGCAUGAUGACGAUGUAAAGGAGGAAUUCAGAUCUUUCAUUUAUGAUACUUCUUCCAUUGAAGAGCAUGAGAUAAAAUGGAUACAAUUCUUAUAA